rnacentral:lncRNA from 1 species
CCGCAACAACAGGAUCUCUCAACAACAGCAACAGAAGGGAAAGGAAAGGCAACAAGCGCCUGCAACGAGUGCCUGUGACUGUUUAGUGAUGAUGCUAACAUGGAAAAGACUGGGAAAACUCAUCCAAAACGAUACUGUCCCAGGCCACCUGUACUUCCUGGACCAUCUGCAGCAACAGACAGAAGUACACUAGCCAGAGCUGAUAAGACAUCAAGCAACAUGACCUCACACUACACUGGCAACUGGUGUUUCAAUGGGCAUUUCCAGAACAACAACAACAACAACAAAAAUAAUAUAUUCAGCUUUAACAUUUGGAUUUCUGAAAAGCAAUUCUACAUAACUUUAUUUCUGGCAGUAUAUUUUUGUGGUAAGAAAAAAAUCUUUGGUAUAUUUGCUUAGUUUGCUUCAGAUUGGAUCACUUGAAGUUUAUUUGUAUGCCUGUAACACGGAAAUCUUCAGAGACUUUCUCCCCCUGGCAUUCACUGCUACACCAGGAUCCUGCUGACACAUCUGCUCCAAACUUCAUUUCAUCCUUUCCCACCUGUGUGCAUCGGUGCCUGAAGCAGAGAAAAAAAAAAAAUCCAGAACCACAGUGCACAUCACCUAGUCACAUGUGAUUUGGUGAUGAGUAUUCCUCUUUCUCAAUGUCAAAAUUUCAUCAAUUUCUGAAGGAGAUUGGCAUCUAGUCCAAUUGUCAUCAGAGGGGCUUCACACAGCAAUGGAUAGAAACAUUUCAAAGACCCACAGCCAAACACUAGGCAGGGUAUGGGGAAUCCUGCAGAAGAAUGGGAUGAAGGAUUGAAGGAGGCAAAGGGUCUCACAGAGACUGAACCAGAAGCCUGGGAGCAGGCAUGGGUCUGACCUUGGCCCUCUGCACAUAUGUUACCUUGUGUACAUUGGUGGAUACAAGAGCUGACUCUGGUUUUUUUUACCUGACUUUGAGACCCUUUCCCUAUGCUGGGUUACCUUGUGCAGCCUUAAUAGAAGAGGAAGAGCCUAGUCUUGCUGCAACUUGAUAUGCCAUGCUUUCUUGAUAUUCUUCAAGGCCAGGCCUUUUCUGAAGAGAUUAGAAGAAAGCAGAGUAGACUGGGAGGGGAGGGGGAAGAGAAGAGGUAGAAGGAAGAACUGGGAAGAAAUGACGGAGG